GGAUAGCUCAGUUGGUUAGAGGAUGGUGCUGAUAAUGCCAAGGUUGCAGGUUUGAUCCCCAUAUGGGACA
rnacentral:tRNA from 1 species